AGAUGACUGACACCCAUCCAUUUGGAGAGACGCUAUAUGAAAAAGACCUUUCUGAAAGCAAAGGAAGAAUUAAUGCUCAACUAUCUGAUCGAACAAAGUCUCUGCUAAGGCCACUUCAGCUUCCUUAUCUAUACCCUUUGAUCUCACUGAUGUUUCAACUGUGUGACUCUGUGACCUUGUUACUACACAAUCAGGUAUGUUUCCCAAAAUAUCGGCAGACUUGGUUACAGAAUCAUCACCUCAAUUUAUUACUACUUUGAAGUCUCAGAAAGUAAUUGAGAAUGUUGAUGUCAAGCUCUCCUGCACAGUGUCUGGUAAUCCAGAACCAGAAGUCACCUGGUACAAAGGAGACAAGCAGCUUACUAAAGUUCUUGGAGUUCUUAAAUAUGAAGUGCUUAAGGAUGGCAAGGUUCACACACUUAAACUAUACAGGUGAUUGGCUGUCCUGCAUGGUAGUGAUGGAAAAAGACUUCAUGGAAUUGAUUUUUAUUACAGGUCUUGAGAGAUGUGCAGGCCCAGAUAUUCAAUGUGCCACAUCCAACAUUCAAGCACUACAUAGGCAGCGACGCAUCCAAUAUGCCAAGCAAGAAUAACCUCUCUGUUGUGGCAUCAGGCUACUAACUAUUUUUGUGCCUUCUCAAUUGCAUCUUAUUUUUGUUUUUAAUUACAUGGAGACCAAAUUUAUUGUCUUAACUGUAGUCUAACAGAAGUUAUACAUAUGUUUCACAAACCUCUCUACUUUUAAAUGUGAUCGCUCUAUAAAUGAACCCAGUGCUUCCUUCUUAUCCU